CUGUACAGUUCAGAGUUUGAUCCUGGCUCAGGAUGAACGCUAGCGGCAGGCUUAACACAUGCAAGUCGAGGGGCAGCAUAAUGAAGUAGCAAUACGGAUUUGAUGGCGUCCGGCGCACGGGUGCGUAACGCGUAUGUAACCUACCUCUAACAGGGGGAUAACACUGAGAAAUUGGUACUAAUACCCCAUAACACUUAAGGAGGCAUCUUCUUGAGUUGAAAGUUCCGGCGGUUAGAGAUGGACAUGCGUUGUAUUAGCUAGAUGGUGAGGUAACGGCUCACCAUGGCGACGAUACAUAGGGGGACUGAGAGGUUAACCCCCCACACUGGUACUGAGACACGGACCAG
rnacentral:rRNA from 1 species